GAGUGAAAUAGAAACUUGGUUUUGCCUUUGCUGACUUCUGAUCUGACUCUCUCAAGUCUGAGUGACAUAGAUCUUUGAUUUUGCCAUUUCUGACUACUGAUCUGACUCUCUCAAGUCUGGUAAGUAAAGGUUUCUCUGAGGUACAGUCCUGGGAAAAGUCUUUCUUCCUUCCAAUUUUUUUUCAUGCUUUUUUGUCACGUUUCAGAUCAUCUAACAAGGAUAACCUGGAUAAAUACAAAAACGUUUUAAAGGGAUGAUUUCAUGUAUGGAGCGGAGAAAAGCAAACCAGAACAACCUGGUCUAAUGUAAAAACCAAUUGUUCUCUAAUACACAGCUGUGCAAGCCCUGAGAGCAACGAACACCCUCA